CCUACGGGAGGCAGCCGUGGGGACUAUUGCACACUGGGGGAAACCCUGAUGCAGCGACGCCGCGUGAGUGAUGAAGUAUUUCGGUAUGUAAAGCUCUAUCAGCAGGGAAGAAAAUGACGGUACCUGACUAAGAAGCCCCGGCUAACUACGUGCCAGCCUCCGCGGUAAUAAGUAGGGGGCAAGCGUUAUCCGGAUUUACUGGGGGUAAAGGGAGCGUAGACGGGGGGGCAAGCCAGAUGUGAAAGCCAGGGGCUCAACCCCGGGACUGCAUUUGGAACUGUGCUGCUAGAGUGUCGGAGAGGCAGGCGGAAUUCCUAGUGUAGCGGUGAAAGGCGGAGAUAUUAGGAGGAACACCAGUGGCGAAGGCGGCCUGCUGGACGAUGACUGACGUUGAGGCUCGAAAGCGUGGGGAGCAAACAGGAUUAGAUACCCGAGUAGUC
rnacentral:rRNA from 1 species